AUUAGAUGCAUUAAAUUUUGCAGUCUGUGAAACACUAUACCAAUGAAAAGAAUCACUCUUAUUAAAAUGGAAUAUAUGCUUUCAUUUAACUCUCAGUUGCCAUUUAACUACACCUGGCAAUGAUGUUUGAAGGGAUCUCAGGGGCCUUACUAUUAGUGGAAAACUCAACCAUCAUGCAUCCCAUAAAAUUUUCCUUCCUUAUAAUGCUCAAUUGUUAAAAAAAAAAAAUUUAAAGUAGGUUCUAAUGAAGCAUAUUAAGUAUAGCUUAUUUGUCAAACUCUUAACCUCUGUCUUGACCAUAAAAUAUGAAUUAUUGUGGUAUAUGGCUCUAUUCAGGGUAUGAUAAAUGCUGUAUGUACUUCAGGAGGAAACUAUAAGGUAUGUUUCUGGCUUGCCUUGAGGAAGAAAUAAAUGGCCUAUGCAGUCACUUCCAUCUCUGGUUUCAAUGAUUAAUGCAUCCUAGAGGAACAACUUCCUUUAGGCUGCAAUGCCAGUUGCUAUCCUUAUUUCAUCCCUUGAGUUUUACAGGGAAUGUGAACUGAAAAAUAUUUAGCUUUUAUUUUAGAUAACUUUUUUCUUUGACUCCUGCUUGUGUCUUUUACAUUUUUUUUUUUCCAUUCUGGAGUUAGUUUUUCUUGUGCGUAUCUAGGUUGUUAUCUAGGAGGACAUGGGAGGUGAUAGAGAUAAUGCCGGGCUGUGCCUAAGGUUUGGAGGUAGAGCGGAUGCUCAGGAGGCUGCGAGAGACCUCAGCAGCUCAAGUGCCAAAAGGUUCCGUGUGUCUUACCUUGUUACUCACUCAUGGCCUCUAUGAGGCUUGGGACCAAUCAGGAUUCCAUGUUAGUGCCAGGUCUUCACUUGCUAUGUCGUUAGGUGCAGUAGAUAAGCAUUUUGUGAAACCAUUUGAGUGUAUUUUGCAUUCUUUCAUGAGAUGGUUAGUCAGGUGUGGCCACAAGAGGGGACAAGGUUCAGGAAAACAAAGUUUAUUAUAUCCACAGCUUCUAAAGAGAGGCACUGCAUGCCAUGAGGGAGUCAUGUAGUGGGAACAUCAAUGGGGCCAGCUCAACCAAGCAGCUGGGGGGGCCGAGAAAGAAAGAGGACCCAUGGGCAAGUGCCUUUAUUGGGGGUCAAGGUGGAGUACAUAAGCAAAAGGCACAAGAAGAUUUUCUGGGUGUGUUUGAAGGUCACUAAAUCACAGUCGGGGCAGGGAGGAAAGGGUACUUGUGGCAAGGGCCAGCCUUAUGCCACCUGUGCAGAAGCUCAGGGCCUCUAUUUAUUCACUGCAAUGGGAAUAAUCCAUUGUCUUAUUUUUUUUAAAUCAUGAUUUCAUGUAACAAACAUUGAAUGUCUGCAAUAUAUGUCAUCAGAAGAAAAGCAAAAGGCAAAAAAAAAAAAAAAAAGAAUUAGAUACAGCAUCCACAGUUAAAUUGCUUACGAUUUGAUUUUAUCAAAAUGCCUUACCGUAGAUUCAUCAACAUUCAUACUUCAAAUGACUAAUGGGCAUCAGUCAUUUAAAAUAACCUUAAAAAGCAUGCUGAUUUUAAUAACUAUAUGAAGAUAGCAAUACUAUGCAAAUGCAUAGGAUGCAUAGGUAUGGGAGAUUGAGGUAUUGAGACUGAGGGAAAAGGAUUGAUAUUAAAAAUCCAUUUGCUAAAAUCUCAGAUCACGGUAUCUUAUUAUUUUCUGAAGAUUUUAUCCAGAGCAGUGAGUUUUCCUCAGAGUCCAUAUUUUUGUUGAGGCUUGGGGAUCUAUGAAAUCCAUAAUAUUGUAUGCACGACUGUGUGCACAUCAGCAUCCUUCUGGGGAGAAAUCUAAAGUUUACGCUAAUUUCUAAAAGUAAUAAUCCAGUAAUAUUAAAAAUCACUAAUGCAUAUUUGACUUAUAAUUUACUUCUCCUUUUAGGGAAGACAGUGUGUUUGGUGGAAAGAUCCUAGAAUUAAGAUGGAAAGGCAUAGGCACGUGCAGUGACAAUAGGAUGGUGGAGUUGGUACCUUUUGCGGUUCCCAUCACGGGUGACAAAACCUUGCUGGUGUGGGAGCUGAGCUCUGGACCCACGGCCGAGGCCUUGCAGUCUUCUCCCAGUUUGGCCUUCUGUAUUCGGUCCGAGUCUUCCCAAAUGCAGCAGUGGCCGGUCCUGGGUUCUAUGCGACCAUCAAGUUUUAUUCAGCAAGGGAUGCCCACAGAGCCCAAAAGGCAUGCGACCAGAAGCAGCUUUUUCAGACAUCUCCAGUGAAGGUUCGUCUCGGCACCAGACAUAAGGCGGUUCAACAUAAUACGCCUGCCCUAAACAGCUCCAGAUACCAAGAAUUGGCAAAUUACUACUUUGGUUUCAAUGGGUGGUCAAAAAGGAUCAUCAAGCUUCAGGAUCUUUCUAACCUUGAAGAAAGGGAAAAGGAAGAUAUUGUGACACCACUUCAGAAGCAAAGCCUGACGUUCUUUUGUGCUUCAGAGGCGGUAUUGCCCUCCCACGAGUGCAGGAGUCCCGAAGUUGGCAUGGCUGAGGAACCUUUGGAUAACUUGGAGGAAGGGUCGUUAUCAUUCCUUAUGAAAAGGAAGGUAACCCAGAAGGUUGCUAUUCAGAAGGCUAUGAGAGAUGCAUUCCAGAAACAGCUGAUUGUGGUUUUAGAAAGUGGUAAAACAGCUGUGGCAUGUAGACCGUGUGAAGAGGUCACAGAUGCUAGAACUGAAGAGGAACUGCAGGAUUUAAUUCAAGUAUGUGGAGAUAAAAGCUCAAGGGGUACACAGCCAGUGUAGCCACAAUUCAAAACAACCAGCAGGAUUUGGAAGACUUUGGCAUGUCUACUCAGCUCUGUCAUCCUUAGGAAAAGGUGAAACUCUGAAACUGCUUUUGAGGCAGGGAAUUUCUAGGACUUUUCCAAGUCCCGAGCCUUGUCUCUGGCCCCUUAUUUGAAGUUUGGAGAGCAGGAUCGAGGGCCAUCAGUGUACGUCUACAGUUGUGGAUACAGGAGAAGACACAGGACUUUUAGAACUCCCCUCAGUUAGAAUUGCAGGGAUUUGGGAAGAAAGUAACUAUGGCCUUAAGUGUGAUUAUGCUACAGUGUUUAAAAACUAUUCAUGCCUUUCAAGUAAGGUAUAUUACCCAGAUCUCAGCAUCUCAUAUAUAUCUUGUGUUAAAUAUUUUGCCGAAGAACCUUUCUGUAAACCAAUUAUAUGGAUGCCUCAAAUUAGGGAUUAAGUUGUCAACGUAAUUUCUAAAAGAAAACAUUAAUGUACUGCAUAUAGGAUUUUUAUUAAAAAGGAGCAAAAAGUGUGUUUCAUGUCAUUGAGAGCUUAAUUUGGGGCUAGAUUUCUGAUUAUUUAACUCACCCCAAUGUUGCAAAGUUUGUUUUGAAGGGAAGAAAGUAGAGAAAGAAAAGGUGGUUAUGUUCUGAAAAAUGUAAAAAUUUUGAAAGUUUUUCCUGUACAAUAUAAUUAUUUUAAUUCAAUUUAAAUCAGUCAAGGGAACUUCAGACGUAUCCAUGUUUGGGCUUUAAGAAGUCUAGCUUCCUGUGAAACGUGAGAGGAAAGGAUUCCAUAUUGAUACUAAAGAUUUCGGAAGCCUGAUUAUAACAACAGAUCCAUUCCUAAAUGAGGCCAAUCUUGGAAUCAGUUCCAUUUAGAAACCAUUAUGUGCUAGGCACUGGAAAUAAGAUGAAGCUCCUUCUGUCUUGGAGUUUAGGUGUUAAAGGUGUACCAGACAAUUAAAAAGGA